GACGAACGCUGGCGGCGUGCUUAACACAUGCAAGUCGAACGGAAAGGCCCUGCUUUUGUGGGGUGCUCGAGUGGCGAACGGGUGAGUAACACGUGAGUAACCUGCCCUUGACUUUGGGAUAACUUCAGGAAACUGGGGCUAAUACCGGAUAGGAGCUCCUGCUGCAUGGUGGGGGUUGGAAAGUUUCGGCGGUUGGGGAUGGACUCGCGGCUUAUCAGCUUGUUGGUGGGGUAGUGGCUUACCAAGGCUUUGACGGGUAGCCGGCCUGAGAGGGUGACCGGCCACAUUGGGACUGAGAGACGGCGCAGACGCCUACGGGAGGCAGCAGUGGGGAGUAUUGCACAGUGGGCGGAAGCCUGAUGCAGCAACGCCGCGUGCGGGAUGACGGCCUUCGGGUUGUAAACCGCUUUCGCCUGUGACGAAGCGUGAGUGACGGUAAUGGGUAAAGAAGCACCGGCUAACUACGUG
rnacentral:rRNA from 1 species